rnacentral:lncRNA from 1 species
UUUGGGCUUAGCGCUUGGUGGAGGUUGCAUGGGCUGGCUCCUGCCUCUGUGACAGUGCAGUUGGCACAGCUUUAUGAGUGACCUACUCUAUUCAUUCAGGGGCAGAACCUAUCCUUUAUGCGUGUCCCUGUCCCAGUCCGAAGAGGACAGAAGGGAGUAGUAUUGUUGUUCACCUGCCCUUGCCACUCACGGCAGCUGGCCAUGCAGGGGAGACUGGGGUCCCCCUUUAGUCUCAUUUAUAGAAGGUUUUAAGAAUGAGCUCAAAUGUAAGCACAAGGAGAACGUUAUCAGUAUUAGAAGGAGCAGUACAGGAUACACAGCUCUAAGUCUCAGCAGCUGCCUGGAGGGGUAAACGAAGGAGAAGAAAAAGCCAUGCCAUUUAAGCUGGGGCAGUCAGAUACAGGUGAGCAAGAGGCCACGCGGUGGGGAGGAAGGCUUUCUCUAAAGGGUAAGGAAGAAGCCAAAGGCUGAAGAGUAGCGCAAAGCAGACUCAGAAAAGAGAGAGGAAAAGGAAAAGCUAGACCCUUAUCUGACCAAUUCAGAAAAUCAGGCUUAUGAACCUGCUCGGCUGUGGUCUGGGUCUGCGAGCUUCUGCACCAGAAGAGAGGAUUCUGGGAUGGGAAAAUCUCAUUAAAAGACUAAUUAGUCCACCUAACUCAUUAGCAUGGCUUAAGGUGAGCCUUCCUCUCUGGAGGUGGUCCUUAGCCAAGGUGUUUGACCCAGCCCAGCUGCUAAAGUAGAUUUUCCUCCCACCCAGAGAUUCAUGUCUCUUGGUUAAGAUUUUAUUUUUAAAACUCUAGCACUGGUAGCAACUGUAAAUCACUCGUUCUUCAUGCAUUCUUUAUUGGGCAUUUCUCUGAGCUAGCUGCAUUCUAGCUGGUGGGGACAUAGUAUUUGGGCAAGAUCAUUAAUGUUCAGAGGUUUCUUUCAUCUGCCCAGUGGGAAUUUUGUGGCUUCUAUUUCAUCAAUGAAAUGGGAUUAGUGUAGUAUUGGCCUUGGGGUCUGGAAAGGAUGUAAUAGGUAUUGUGUAGUGGGCAGACCCUGAGGCCAAUGGUAGCCUUAUCCACUAUGGUGGAAAUGGAACCAGCUCUCCUCCAUCAGAGACCGUACCUUUCUGACUUCAGCUAAGACUUCUGAGACUUUUAUAGGCACAGAGAACCCCAGAACUGGCUGAGACUUCUGCGAGUGAAUUGUUCAGGCAGGGGAAGAAUAUGUGCCUGUCCUUGGGAGCUGAAGUUUAGCUUGGUAUGAAAGAGUCCUUCUGGCUUGGGUGGUCAGGCAAAGCCAUGUGUGGAGCCACUGGCCAUAAACAAGAGUAGGGAGAGAGUGGAUGGCUCUUGCCUCCUUGGGCAGGACCUUCCUCCUCCAUCAUCUUGCUCAGUCAUGGGUGACUCUAAGCUAUUCAGUGUGUUCUCAGUGUGUGCCUGUUAGAUGGAGUGUCGGAGGAAUCAGAGAGGCACCUGGUUUCUCUUCUGGGGCCCUGGUAAGGUGUUCCUUUGUCUCCAGUGAGAAAAUUCGUGUUCACAUCAAUGCCCACGGCUUCCUCUCCUCCUUUCUCACUCUUUUUGUAUUUUUGUUGUUUUGUGACUUCUACGUGUUCAAACUUGUAAUCUUUGUUCCUAUACUAACAGGCAGACAGUCAGACAAUCAGACAGACAGAGAGACAUAUGAGUGUAUAUUGAGUGUAUACACACACACACACACACACACACACACACACACGCACACGCACACGCGCGCACACACACACACACUCAAUCUCUAUUGCUACUGACAUACUCGUAGGUUGGUCAUCUGGGCCAUGGGAUUGAAAUCCUUCUCUAGGACAGACAGACUUCUAAGGCCUCCCUUAGGGAUAGGGACCUCUUUAGCCAGCCUUUCCACCCCAGGGAAAAGUGAAGCUUGAUUUAGAAUUGCUGUUUAUAGAGUGGGAGUUCUUGAAGAGCCAUGUUGGUAGUUCAAGCCCUAAAGCCUUAGAAAAGACACCCAACAUUUAUGCUAGCAGAUUUUUACAUGUGAGAAUACUGUCAGAGGUUUUAAAAGCAUGUUUAUUUAAUGGUAUGUGGAAGGAAUUAUCAAUAAUGAAACACAUUCGAACGGCUUUGUCCUGUAGUAUAGGAUCAGUUAAAUAGGAUUUGGUGCAUUCAUGUGGUAUAAUGUUGCAUAGUGCUGUGGGUUUUUUUCUCUUUUAGUUUUAUUAUACUUUAUUUUUAUGAGUGUUUUGCCUCCCUAUUUGUAUGUGCCCCACUUGCAUUCCUGGUGACCACAGAACCCAGAAGAUGGCAUAAGAUCCCUGGAACUGGAAUUACAGAUGGCUGCAAUGUGGGUGCUUGGAACCUAACCUGGGGUCCUCUGGAAAGCAAAACAAAAUAAAAACAAAAACAAAAACCAUCAAAUGCUCUUAAACUCUAAGCCAUCUCUCCAGCACCAACACAUAGU